AGAAUUGUCAUUAUUGAGGUUCCUCAGUGCUGAACUGACAAGAGGGUACUUCCUCGAACAUAACGAGGCCAAGUAUACAGAGCGAAGAGAAAGGGUGUACACUUGUAUGCGAAUACCAAGAGAAUUGGAAAAGCUUAUGUUUUUUGGAAUAUUUUUGUGCCUCGAUGCCUUUCUGUAUGUGUUCACCCUGCUUCCUCUAAGAGUCUUUCUGGCUCUGUUCAGACUCCUCACUCUGCCUUGCUAUGGUUUAAGGGACAGACGUUUGCUUCAGCCCGCACAGGUAGCCGAUCGUCUGUUCUCCUCAUUUGGACAAGAUAUCUUAGAUGCUCUGUACUGGACAGCCAC
rnacentral:lncRNA from 1 species